CCCUUAGAUGUUCUGGGCUGCACGCGCGCUACACUGAAGCUAUCAACACGUUUUCCCUCCCUGAGAAGGGCGGGUAACCUUUUGAAUCAGCUUCGUGGUAGGGAUCGGGGCUUGCAAUUGUUCCCCGUGAACCAGGAAUUCCUAGUAGACGCGAGUCAUAAGCUCGCAUCGAUUAAGUCCCUGCCCUUUGUACACACCGCCCGUCGCUACUACCGAUUUAACGUUUUAGUGAGGCAUUUGGACCGACGCAUCUCAGUUUAACCGCUGGUUUGUGUUGGAAAGACUUCCAAACUUGAGCGUUUAGAGGAAGUAAAAGUCGUAACA
rnacentral:rRNA from 1 species